rnacentral:lncRNA from 1 species
GCCAGAGGAAGGCCAUGCUGUUUAAACCUCUCAGAGCUCAAACUGGUCAAGAAUUUUUUCCUCUGCUUUUACUCAAGAUAUUAAACAGCCACGAAACAGAUCAUUGAUUCCAACCUACUCCAUCCUCUGAUGGACUUUGAGCAACCAGCCCUCCCAAAGGCAGUCCUAGCUCCGAGGACCUGAGAUAGAGCUCCCGGGUACCUGGCCUGAGGUGUGACUUCAGUCUCCCAGGUUCCCCACAAAAACUGGACAUCUGACCCGCAGCUUCGAAGCUGAUGUGCUGAGGUGGAAUCGAACAGUGAGGACUUCCCAGAACAUCUGAAUCAGCUGCUCAGUGCCUGGAAGGCUGGAGAAGGUGAGAAGGGGACAAGAGCAAAGGAGAGAAACUGGGUGAGAGCACAAUGACGCAUGGAGAGAGUGACAAUGGAGCAAGAGGCUGGUAGAGCUGGGGGACCACGGCUCCCAGAGCUGACUGGGGAAGGAGACAGGGCAGGCACCUCAUCAGUCAUUCUUUCCCCACCUGUCCUGCCACAUUCACCCAGUGCGUUCAGCUGUUUCAGCUUGGUAGGUCUCCCUUUCUCCCUUCACUUACUGCCAUGAAGGCUGUGGUUAUCAGUGUCCUGGUUCCUGCAGCCCCGGUGGCCACACGAAGCUCCGAGGCCAGUCCCCUCACCCUGUGGCCUCUAGAAGGAAUAAAGUCAAGACCUUCCUCACCAUGUUUCUAGUCAUCACCACCCACUCCAAUGCCCUCUGUCCCAGCCAGUCAUUCUAGGCCUCUCUGCCACUAAGAUCACCAUAUUCCAGGUACUCCAAUCUCCCCAGGGAAAGGGCUGCAUCUGCUCCCUAAAUGCUUGUCUGUGUCUUUGCUCACGCCCUCACGUAGUAUCCGAAAGCCCGACCAUGCUGUCUGUCAUACUCUGACCUUUAUCUUCAAGAUCCAGCUCCUCCGUGUGGCUUUUCCUGAUUGCUGCCCCCAAUUAACCUAUCCCUUCUCUGCUCAGCAGAAUUUUGUGGCUUGAUCGUAAACACCGCUUAUUAUAGUUAGUCGUGCAUGCAGACAUUGCCUUCUUCGUGCUAUGUCCGCUCCCCCUCCCCUCACAAAACCAGGUGAGUGCCAGGUAGACGCUCAGGAUGUGCUGAUUGACUUGUUGGACUGAAUAACAGAGGACACGACAGCUGUAAUCAAUCAGGAAUCCACAGUCACCAUUUCCCAGGCCACCGGGAGAGUUUCCACAGCAGAGCCUGCAGCUGAGCGGAGAUGUCAUCUGAUUUAUUAAUUAACGCAAACGCCGUUCAUCCAAUGCUCUGGGGCAUGGUUAAAAAAAAUCCAGAACAUUUAGAAAAUGAUAAAAAUAACACUUAUUAGCUUAGAAAUAACUGACUUAGUCUCAGCCUUUUAGUCCCAGCAUCGAUCCCCUGUCGCCAGCCCCCAGCCCCUUGGUCUCCCCGACCCAUGGGGUGUCCCCUUUUCCCACCUUCCCCACAGCGCUGCUUUGGUGAUUACCAGAAUUCCUGCCAGGGAUUGCUAAUUGGGUUAAUGGAGUGACUGUGUAAUUGUUCUCUCUCCCACCACACUGGCUGUUUUCCGACUACCUGCCU